rnacentral:rRNA from 1 species
AUUGAACGCUGGCGGCAUGCCUUACACAUGCAAGUCGAACGGUAACAGGUCUUCGGAUGCUGACGAGUGGCGAACGGGUGAGUAAUACAUCGGAACGUGCCUAGUAGUGGGGGAUAACUACUCGAAAGAGUGGCUAAUACCGCAUGAGAUCUACGGAUGAAAGCAGGGGAUCGCAAGACCUUGUGCUACUAGAGCGGCCGAUGGCAGAUUAGGUAGUUGGUGGGAUAAAAGCUUACCGAGCCGACGAUCUGUAGCUGGUCUGAGAGGACGAUCAGCCACGCUGGGACUGAGAAACAGCCCAGACUCCUACGGGAGGCAGCAGUGGGGAAUUUUGGACAAUGGGCGCAAGCCUGAUCCAGCAAUGCCGCGUGCAGGAUGAAGGCCUUCGGGUUGUAAACUGCUUUUGUACGGAACGAAAAGCCCCGGGUUAAUACCCUGGGGUCAUGACGGUACCGUAAGAAUAAGCACCGGCUAACUACGUGCCAGCCGCCGCCGUAA